rnacentral:rRNA from 1 species
CAGUGUAGCGCGCGUGCAGCCCUGGACAUCUAAGGGCAUCACAGACCUGUUAUUGCUCAACUUCAUGCGGCUAAACACCGCUUGUCCCUCUAAGAAGUUGUCUGGACGAUAAAAUUAUCCAGUAACUAUUUAGUAGGCUAGAGUCUCGCUCGUUAUCGGAAUAAACCAGACAAAUCACUCCACCAACUAAGAACGGCCAUGCACCACCAACCACCGAAUCCAUGAAAKAGCUCUCAAUCUGUCAAUCCUCCACG